rnacentral:rRNA from 1 species
GAAAUGCGAUACGUAAUGUGAAUUGCAGAAUUCAGUGAAUCAUCGAAUCUUUGAACGCACCUUGCGCCCCUUGGCAUUCCGAGGGGCACACCCGUUUGAGUGUCGUGACAUCCUCAACCUUCUUGGUCUUUUUUGACUUUAGAAGGCUUGGACUUUGGGGGUUUUUGCUGGCCUUUAUUUUUAAAAGCCAGCUCCUCCUAAAUGCAUUAGUAGGGUCUACAUUGUCGAUCCUCGACGUUGAUAAGAUGCUUCUACGUCUUGGUUUACCUUUUGUAGCCUGCUUCUAACCGUCUCAUUGGAGACAAAGCGGCUCAAGUUUUCACUUGAACCCACAAAKCAUUGACCUCAAAUCGGGUGAGACUACCCGCUGAACUUAA